AUCCUUUGGUGAGGGCAUGCCAAGAGGUAUUCUUGGAAGCGCUCCCAUGUCUUAGGGAUUGACUUGUCUGACGCGUGCAGGAAGUUGGUAAUCCUUCCACGAAGGGC
rnacentral:snoRNA from 1 species